GACGGAGGGUGCUAGCGUUGUUCGGAAUCACUGGGCGUAAAGGGCGCGUAGGCGGCCUCAGGUGUCGGAUGUGAAAGCCCGGGGCUCAACCCCGGAGGUGCAUCCGAAACUCUGGGGCUGGAGGUCGGAAGAGGAGGGUGGAAUACCCAGUGUAGAGGUGAAAUUCGUAGAUAUUGGGUGGAACACCAGUGGCGAAAGCGGCUCUCUGGUCCGGACCUGACGCUGAGGCGCGAAAGCGUGGGGAGCAAACAGG
rnacentral:rRNA from 1 species